CAAAGAAUAGUUUAUUAAAAUAGUAAUUUUGGAGAUUACAGAUAAAGAAGUUCUUUUUCUUUGA
rnacentral:tRNA from 1 species